rnacentral:rRNA from 1 species
CACGUAGGGCGCAAGCGUUGUCCGGAAUUAUUGGGCGUAAAGAGCUCGUAGGUGGUUUGCUGCGUCCGCUGUGAAAACCCAAGGCUUAACCUUGGGCUUGCAGUGGAUACGGGCAGGCUAGAGGUAGGUAGGGGAGAAUGGAAUUCCCGGUGUAGCGGUGAAAUGCGCAGAUAUCGGGAGGAACACCGGUGGCGAAGGCGGUUCUCUGGGCCUUACCUGACACUGAGGAGCGAAAGCGUGGGGAGCGAACAGG